rnacentral:misc_RNA from 1 species
UUUCCGUAGGUGAACCUGCGGAAGGAUCAUUGAUGGAGCCGUGGGUGGCUUUAAACCCCGCAAACCAACAACCGUGAACAACCUGUGCCGGCGGGCCUCGUACGUGUCGCAACUGUCGUGUGGAGGUCAUGAAAGCAAAACAAAAGAGUACAACUCUCAACGAUGGAUCUCUUGGCUCUCGCAUCGAUGAAGAACGCAGC